UACGAAAGGAGCAAGUGUUAUUCAGAUUAACUGGGCGUAAAGGGCACGUAGGUGGUUUAAUAAGUCAACUGUUAAAUCUUGAGGCUCAACCUCAAAAUCGCAGUCGAAACUAUUAGGCUAGAGUAUAGUAGGGGUAAAGGGAAUUUCCAGUGGAGCGGUGAAAUGCGUAGAGAUUGGAAAGAACACCGAUGGCGAAGGCACUUUACUGGGCUAUUACUAACACUCAGAGACGAAAGCUAGGGUAGCAAAUGGG
rnacentral:rRNA from 1 species